UUUGUAAUGGUUCACUUCUGCUUUCUUCGUUAUAUCUAAAGUUCAUUCGUCUUGUUCUGUUGAGGUUUGAUCGGUCUCGCUCCAAGCCUGUGCUUUUGUUGCCUUGCACAGUUUAAUUUACAGAAAGUAUUCUGUGAGUUAGUGACACUGCUUCCGUUUGAAACUAAAAACUACAAAUGGCUUCCUUUCUAAAUUUACAGUCACGAAUCAGUUUAAGAAUGUCUCACAGGGAAUACAUAACGACAGCAUUGGUACAUUUAUAGUUUCAUGGCAAAUUACUGUUAAUAUGAACUUUUGUUUUUUUUGUAAAAAUUUGUCAAAACAGAAAAAAAAUUGUCUUCCAGGACGCUGAAGUAUGCUGUGAAAAAGUGAUGCUAGCAAAAGCAGUUAACAGUAAAAUGGAAAUAUGUCAGAUUACACACGAAAAACCUGAAGUUCUUCUCAGGAAUUCACAAAAUUUCAAAUACAGUGGAACCCCGACUUACGAAUACCCCAUUUAACGAAAAAUUCAAGUUACGAAGGCGCUUAACGGCAAUAUUUCUACCCGUGUUACGAAGUCCGCUGGCUCUGAUUGGCUGAGCCCAGAAUGCCUACAAUGCCCACAAUGCCUUCCGAAUCAUGUGACAACCCCCUUGGCUUUCGGACUUGCGCUUCGCUGUUCCACUUGAACGACGCCUAUCGUUCACUCACAAGGCGCGAUGGGUGCUUCGACUUACGAAAAUUUUUGACUUGCGAAAGACCCUCGGGAACGAAUUAAUUUCGUAAGUCGGGGUUCCGCUGUAUUCAGCUUGCUAAAGCCGCUGUUUAUAUCAAGCAUGGUGACAAUAUCACAGACGUUGCAGUUUAACAAGUCGUUUUGUCUACAGUUACAUUUCUUUUGUUUCCUUAAAACCAAUAAAUCUCCCAUACGUGAGAUGAUUUUAACGACUUCUGAAACAAGGUUAGCUAAAUUUCUGGAGAACCAAAUCAGAACCAUUUUUAUUUAAAUAAAAUAUGUGACUGAAUGACUUGUUAAGGACCAGUGUGAGCUGACCAAAGCCAUCUUCAGUAUCCCUAACCAACUUGCUAGCAUUACUUUUCACAGUAAUAAUGAUAAUAAUAAUAAUAAUAACUUAUAAAGCGCUUUCAAACGAAGUGCUGUACAGCUAUUUGAAACUAAAAAGAUGAAGUAAGUAAAAUAAAUCCACGUUACGUGAAUUAAAGACAUCUUGUGUGUUUGAAACGAUGUCUGAACAUGAUACUGUGUUGCUGUUUUGUAGUGAAGGGUUUGUCCUGUAAGUGGCCAUGUUAUUACUCUGUAUGAAUUUCCUGCCAAACGUUCUCCAGUCACGUCUUUGGGAGAAACCUCUUCACCUCAAGCAGGAAGUGAUUAAACUCCACUUUGUCCUGGGCAAACAUGAAAAGGAGUGGAAUUAGAACAUCCAUUGGUCACCGUUCAUUGGAAAUAAAAAAAAGUUAAAUUCUUCUUAUGUUUUGGGAAUUGUUAGUCACCUCAUCUGUAGAUGUACCUGGUGGCUGAUGAACACUCACUUUAACAGCUGUUCUGUUGAAACAGCUGCCUCUGAUACAAAACUGUUCAAUAAUGUUUAUUAAGGGGAUUUGAGGUGUGAGGAACUCCAGUAAAACCUGCAGAGCCAAAACUAGGAGUCACUCCAGUGAAGUUGAAUCAAUUUGCACACUUGGCACCAGGCCUAUUUUACUUUAUGUCUCCGUUUACUUUAUACUGUAAACGGACACAAGAGUGACUUUGAAUGGGUUUUGGUGACUCGUCCCAUUACUUUGCCCUGUGAAUGAGCCCUUUGCUUCUCUGGCUUGUAGACGAGGUUUUAAUCAGCUGAUGAGGUCACUGGAGGAGUUAAACAUUUACUAACCCGAUGUUCUCUCAUGUACUCAUGGCUUUGUCACCAAUUUGUCUUUUUUAUUUUUCUGAAUCAGUGUGAUGGGAUGAAAUGAAGUUGCUGACCUCGGGUGAUCAUGAUUGGCUAUUUAAUUCUUAAAGCUUAAACAGUGUGCUCAUUAUUUGACAAUAAGGGGGGAUGCUGUGUGACAGCUCAGAGCUAUUUUUUGACUUGCAUUUGAAAAAUCACCUUUUCAGGCAUCAGUGCACAGUACAGACUUCAACCUUAUUCUUUAUUUUCGACAUUGCAUUUGUCUGCGUAACCUCCAAAACACAAACUCUGACCAACACACAUACUGGUGAAUUAAUGUGAUGGUUAAAGUGGAUCCGUUCUGCCUUCUGCCAGUGUAUGAACGGCGAAUCCCUGUGAAUUAAUGCUGCUUUUUUCUCUCUGCUUGGGUUUGUAUGAUGUCACGGAGAUUAGAUAUCCUUAAUAUGGCCAUCUAAGGCACAGUAAGCCCCGCCCACCUGCUCUAAUUUGUUUGGGAGGGGCAGCCCGUCAAUGCAAAGUUUGCUCAAAGUGGGAGGAGCUAAAAGAGCUCACUGAUAGAAGAUAAAGGGGGAUUAUUUUGAACUCUGAAUUGUGCAAAGCUACUCUAGAAGAGCCCAAGUAUAAAAUAUGAGCAGAAUAGAUCCACUUUGUUUUAGCAAUUUAAUAUCUGUUACUUUGAGGAUGAAGGAUUAUUUCAGUUUGAGUGUGUUUUUUGCCAUAUAACACUGUAUGUGUCUGCACUCUUUGCAUUGCAGCUGUUAUUCAUUUGGUGAUUCUGAGGAACAGUCCUGUAUGAAGCACUCCUUUAACACUGUUUUAAACAGUACUCUAUGAGUUAGAUUUAACAGCCAAAGAGGCUUAAAAUCCCCCCACAAACGUAGAUUUUGACAAAGUUUUGUGUGUGGAAACACUCUUGGUAUCAGUGUUGUGUGUCGGGAUUAAGAUAUUGACUAAUUUCAUGUAAAAACUGGCUCAACUUGGUACUUGUUGUAGCAGCCAAGUCUUGGAGAAACUGGAAAAAUAACUUUAAAAUGCUCAGCACAUCAGCAAAUACUCGAUCACGUGACUGUUUCUCGUUGGCUUGAAUCUGACUCUUUCCCCAAAAUUCAAUGCCAUUAAUCGAAACACGUGUGCACCUAAAACGAGCAUUUUCUCCACAUUUCUGCCCUCUAAAACACAUGUGUGCACUUACACUGUGCGUCAUUUAUUUUUUCAGCUCUCUGUGUGUGAACUCGUCUGCAUGUGCAUCGAUUCUGAAUGAAAAGGAGCACUUUAUGGCAUCCGUGUAGUUAAGAGGACAAUAGUACUCGCUGUGAUUAUUCUGUUAGGGUUGUAUUCACUGUAACUGCAUACCAAGCAAUGCACUGAUCGGCACAUUCUGCAUAACCUGUAAUUUUAUGGACAUUUUGAUUGCUACAAAUUAUUUGUGCCUUGGCCUUUUACAGUACAGAUGUUUCUUUCAAUGCAAUUCUUUUAAUUUGGUCGUGCUUUUCUCGCUAUGGCUGUCAAAACGCAGCACAAAGCUGUCGGUAAUAACUGUGUGGAGGGCUGCAUUUACAUGCACUCAUUGCUCAGCGGCCUCGAUCCAUGGAGCCAAGACUGAUAGAAAAUCAGCGCAGUAGCUGGGGGGUACUAAAUUUUCUCUCUUCAAAAACCACCCCUCCAAACAGCGGCUGAUAUUGCUUUUACAGUUCCAGUUGGGGGAGCAGCUACAGGGCAGAAGCACCAACAAUGGAAGAAGACACGCUGUCCACACACUGCAAUAUUUAACCUGCUAAUUUUUUGCUGUUUGAUGGAACCUCACAAUUUGCAGGGUUUUGAUGCGACUCUCAAACUGUCUUUCCAAAAUCUUCUUAAUCUCCUCCUAAGACACGAACUCUUUCAUGGCAUGCACCCUCUUUGCUAUUUGGGCUGAUUGGGACCUGAUGAAUUACCUGUUUUUUGUUUUUGACGAAAAUGAGAAAAUGUAGUAUUUUGGUCUAGACAACCUAAAAUGCGAUGUCCGCAUAUGUGGACGCCAGGUCCUUGGAGGUUAAAUGCAAAAUUACAUGAGUACCUAUAAGGUGAACUGAUAAGUGUCAAAGCAGGGUGCUUAGCGGCUAUAAAAGAACUUUUGACCUCCAAAACAAUUAGAGAUAAGAUUUUACACGUUGCUCUGACAAAGAAGAAAGCCUUGCAUGCAUGUUGCAUAUGGACAUGGUGCAGUCUCACAGCAGUUUGUAAAAAAAUAAACUGAUUCAGUUUUAUUUAUAUACUGCCAAAUCACAACAAUGAUAAAGGUAAAGACACAACAAUUACAUCCCCCUUUGAGGCAACAGUGGGGAGGAAAAACUCCCUUUUAACAGGAAGAAAACUGCAGCAGACCUCCUAACCUGGUGUUCAGCAUACUGACCAGGCCGAACCUGCUUAGCUUUUAAGAUCAAGACUCAGAUUUGUGUUUUUUACACAAACUGGACAUUUUGUUUGUGGCUGUGAUGAAGCAUGAAGUUUGAAACACGUGGCACAAUUUUAGUCUUUAAACAAAAAGUUAACAGUCUUGUGAACAAGAUGAAUAUCUUGUAAAUGCUUUAAAAAGAAGUCAUCUCAUGGCUUUAAAGAAGGUUAGUAAGAGCCAUCUCUCACAGUGUGACAUUUAAACAUGGACGAUGAUGAUACUCGCUGGUUAGUUAAGCCAGGUGUGACGGACGAAGCCACGCACUCAUUGGCUGACGACUUGUGAUUGACUGAGUCCUCAGCCAAUGAGCUUCUCACUGAACUUGAUUUAUAAAAUAACCCCAAAUAUUUUAUUCUGUAUGACCUGAAACUAGAAACCAAAGCUCUAAACUCAUCAGGCGUUUCUAUAAGACCAGAAGUCUUUCUGCAAACACAGGAGUCGCCCCCUGGUGUCCAUUACGCAGAAUACAGGUUCGAAACAAAAGUUCCAAACAAGUGCCAAACACGUGCUCGAUAAAUAGCAAAUGAAUAAAUAAAUAAAAUCACUUCUGCUUAGAGUCUUGGGCCGUACAGUUCCUGUAUUUCUCCCACAGGAACGAUGCAGGAAGCAAAUCUGAGAGGAGCGACGUCUAAAUGCAGCCGAAAUGCAGUAAAAACAAAAGCCACUACGUCUGGGAGGUUACUGACAGCUCUGUGCUGGUUGAUGACGGCAGCUUUUCUGGGUCAGAAACAGUUCUGUUGUUCUUAAGUUUCAUUUAAGGGAAGUUUGGACAACUUUACACUAGUGGCCUUCAGAGCUGUGCAUCAUUUUUCUCAUACCAGUUUGAAAAAAAGAAUAAACCUACCAUUUCUAUUCUGUAUUAGACCACUUUGGAUAUUUUGUUUUGAUGAUAUAAUAUGCAAAUGUAUUCUUACUUGAUUUUUUAAUUUUUUUUGUCUUUUCAAUUGCACCAGUUAUUAAUAAAGCAUUGAACUGAAAGCAGACGGUGUGGUUAUUAUCUGCAAGCGUUAAACCAGAGAUGGAUUUAUGCUGCUGAAAUCACUCAGGCUGCAUCGUUUCUGCACCCGUGGACUCGUUGUUGGCGUCCCUGCUAUAAAAUAGCUGUUCUUAAAUGUCCUGCAGCCCUCUGCAGACAGGCUGUGUGUCUUUGGAGUAGAUUUGUGUGCAUUUGCUGUGUUUGUGUGUCCAAUAUUUGAGGUAAUGUAUCUGCUUUGCAUGUCGUCUUAGUUAACAUGUGCUUUUUUUAUUGGCUGUUUUUGUCCUUGUGUGUGUCUGAGCUUAGUUGCGGAUGUUCCCAGCCCUUUGUAGUUGUUUGAUGUCUCUUUGUAGUGAUUUUGUGUACUUUUCUGGUUGUUAUGUGUCCCGUCUCUUAGUUGUAUCGCAGUACUUUUUCUUCUUUCUUUGUAGUUGUUUUACAUUCAUGUCUCUUCGUUUUGGGACCAGUUUGCAGGCUUUUGUUGUUCGUGUGCAUCAUGUUGUGUGUUGUGAGUCUUUGUGUCCCCAUUAUUAUCUGACAUUUUUCUGUUUUGCAGUUAUUUUCCAUCUCUUGUUUAGCAUCAGUUUGUGGCAUUUUUUUGGCUUUUACUUCACGUGUGCGUUCUUUUGUAGUUGUUGUUGUUUUGUGUAUUUAUACUGUGUUGGUUUGCAUGUUUCUCUGUGAUGUUUUUGUUUCAUUCUGGAGUUGUUUUGUCUCUUUGCAGUAUUGUUGUUCUCAGCCUUGACUCUCAUGUGUGGCCUCUUGCUGAAAACCUUCAGAUGAACGUUAUUAUUUCGCUCACAGCGGCUCCGGCUGUCGCUGCUGUUACUCUGUGAAGAUGGUUUAACUCAUUUUUAGGAUUCUUAUUUUAUAACGUUUCCACCCCAGAACACAAACAUCAGUGGACACGUGUGCAGCUUGUUUUUCACUCAUUAGCUCAUUUCAUUUCGUUCUUGUUAGAAUUAUGCGCUAAAAGUCUGUUUC
ensembl:lncRNA